rnacentral:rRNA from 1 species
UACGUAGGGACCGAGCGUUGUCCGGAAUCAUUGGGCGUAAAGAGCGUGUAGGCGGCUUGCUAAGUCCUGCGUGAAAUCUCGGGGCGUCAACCCCGAGCGGUCGUGGGAAAGCUGGCAGGCUAGAGUGCGGGAGAGGAGAGUGGAAUUCCUGGUGUAGCGGUGAAAUGCGCAGAUAUCAGGAAGAACACCCGUGGCGAAGGCGGCUCUCUGGAA